AGCGGAUCCAAAGGCUUCAGUAUAAUUUCUUACAUUUCGGGAGGCACCUUAUCAGUAACUUGUGUGUGAGAAACCAGACGAGAUGGGCCUGGAAUGACAAUAAAAGUGAAAACUCAUGCACACACUGACAUGACCUCUUCUGCAGUGGCUUGACUUUUCUCGGUUGUGGAGCUGAAAAUUAUCCAAGACACAAACAAUAUUUUAUUUUUAGAAAAUGUGCUGUCAACUUUUUUUGGUUUACAAAAAAAAUGAAGUAGCAUCCAACAUGAACUUGUGAUACAGUAAUAAAUAGCACUGUCAUUUUAUUUUACAAA